AAGAAGUUAAGCUCUUUUAGAAUUUGUCUAGCAGAUUUUCCACUUCUCACCAGAAAAUCCAU
ensembl:snRNA U7 U7 small nuclear RNA